UGGGGAAUUUUGGACAAUGGGGGAAACCCUGAUCCAGCCAUCCCGCGUGUGCGAUGAAGGCCUUCGGGUUGUAAAGCACUUUUGGCAGGAAAGAAAUUGCGCGUGCUAAUACCAUGCGUAGAUGACGGUACCUGCAGAAUAAGCACCGGCUAACUACGUGCCAGCAGCCGCGGUAAUACGUAGGGUGCAAGCGUUAAUCGGAAUUACUGGGCGUAAAGCGUGCGCAGGCGGUUCGGAAAGAAAGAUGUGAAAUCCCAGGGCUUAACCUUGGAACUGCAUUUUUAACUACCGGGCUAGAGUGUGUCAGAGGGGGGUGGAAUUCCGCGUGUAGCAGUGAAAUGCGUAGAGAUGCGGAGGAACACCGAUGGCGAAGGCAGCCCCCUGGGAUAACACUGACGCUCAUGCACGAAAGCGUGGGGAGCAAACAGGAUUAGAUACC
rnacentral:rRNA from 1 species